AUGGAAUUCUAUUCAGUGUAUGACGUGCCGAUCGACCAGCUGCUCGGAGUACCAGCGGAUGAGAGUGACCUCCACAAAUGCUGGGAAGACUUUGGAGCCAAUGGAGGCCAACUUGCAGCUCCCCACUGUCCUUGUACCCACGACGAGACGCCAGACGCCACGCCGUCGGAGACGGAGCGCGCCGCUCAUACAGUGCAUGUGCCCGAGAGCGGCUGGAGGCGCAAGAGAGGCCCUCGCAAGAGAAGGGUGCCGUUGUGCACAGACCAAUCUUGGCAUCUGGGUAACCAUUUUGGGGAAACGUCACAUAGAACCAACAAUAGCCACUGGACACCUGAAGAGGUAGCUACGCUGGUGGAUCGCGUCCAAGAUUGCGGGGUUGCACGGUGGUCUGCGAUGAAGAAGAAAUGGUUUCCAACGUCGGUCCGAACUGCGGGCAAUCUCAAGGAUAAGUGGAGAAAUCUACUGGAAUCAUACACGGGAGAUGCAGAAAAAAGUUGCUAUCUGCAUCUUGACAAGAAGCUGAUCGAACGAAUCAAAAAGGCAGCACUCAACAACCCGUAUCCGAAACCAAGGUGCACUGAUGAAUGA
rnacentral:rRNA from 1 species